CCUGGUGAUUAGAGCGGGGUGGCACCACCCGUUCCCAUCCCGAACACGGAAGUGAAACGCCCUAGCGCCGACGAUACUUUGCUCGCAAGGGCAUGGGAAAAUAAGCCAUCGCCAGGG
rnacentral:rRNA from 1 species